GGUGGAGCACAACGUCGAAAGCAGCCGUUGGGAGCCCAGGAGGCGGGGCGCCUGUGGGAGCCGUGGAGGGAACUUUCCCAGUCCCCGAGGCGGAUCCGGUGUUGCAUCCUUGGAGCGAGCUGAGAGCUCGAGUACAGAACCUGCUAAGGCCAUCAAACCUAUUGAUCGGAAGUCAGUCCAUCAGAUUUGCUCUGGGCCGGUGGUACCGAGUCUAAGCACUGCGGUGAAGGAGUUAGUAGAAAACAGUCUGGAUGCUGGUGCCACUAAUAUUGAUCUAAAGCUUAAGGACUAUGGAGUGGAUCUCAUUGAAGUUUCAGGCAAUGGAUGUGGGGUAGAAGAAGAAAACUUCGAAGGCUUAACUCUGAAACAUCACACAUCUAAGAUUCAAGAGUUUGCCGACCUACCUCAGUGAUGUCACCAUUUCUACCUGCCAUGUAUCGGCGAAGGUUGGGACUCGACUGGUGUUUGAUCACUAUGGGAAAAUCAUCCAGAAAACCCCCUACCCCCACCCCAGAGGGAUGACAGUCAGUGUGAAGCAGUUAUUUUCUACGCUACCUGUGCACCAUAAAGAAUUUCAAAGGAAUAUUAAGAAGAAACGUGCCUGCUUCCCCUUCGCCUUCUGCCGUGAUUGUCAGUUUCCUGAGGCCUCCCCAGCCAUGCUUCCUGUACAGCCUGCAGAACUGACUCCUAGAAGUACCCCACCCCACCCCUGCUCCUUGGAGGACAACGUGAUCACUGUAUUCAGCUCUGUCAAGAAUGGUCCAGGUUCUUCUAGAUGAUCUGCACAAAUGGCUCCUCUCCUCCUUCCUGAUGUCUGCCAUUAGCACUGGAAUAAAGUUCCUGCUGAAAAUCCACAU
rnacentral:lncRNA from 1 species